GAUGAACGCUGGCGGCGUGCUUAACACAUGCAAGUCGAACGAGGGUUAUCGGUUGAAGUUUUCGGAUGGAAACUGAUAACGCCGAGUGGCGGACGGGUGAGUAACGCGUGGGGAACCUGCCCCAUUCCGGGGGAUACCAGAGGGAAACUUCUGCUAAUACCCCAUACGAGCUUAGUUGAAAUACUAAUCUUGAAAACUCCGGUGCUCAAGGAUGAGUCUGCAUCUGAUUAGCUAGUUGGCGGUGUAAUGGACCACCAAGGCGACGAUCAGUAGCUGGUUUGAGAGGAUGAUCAGCCACAAUGGGACUGAGACACGGCCCAUACUCC
rnacentral:rRNA from 1 species